rnacentral:rRNA from 1 species
GACGAACGCUGGCGGCGUGCUUAACACAUGCAAGUCGAACGGCAAGGCCCUGCUUUCGUGGGGUGAUCGAGUGGCGAACGGGUGAGUAACACGUGAGUAACCUGCCCUAGACUUUGGGAUAACUUCAGGAAACUGGGGCUACUACCGGAUAGGAGCCCCUGCUGCAUGGAGGGCGUUGGAAAGUCUCGGCGGGUGGGGAUGGACUCGCGGCUUAUCAGCUAGUUGGUGGGGUAGUGGCUUACCAAGGCUUUGACGGGUAGCCGGCCUGAGAGGGUGACCGGCCACAUGGGGACUGAGAUACGGCCCAGACGCCUACGGGAGGCAGCAGUGGGGAAUAUUGCACAAUGGGCGGAAGUCUGAUGCAGCAGCGCCGCGUGCGGGAUGACGGCCUUCGGGUUGUGAACCGCUUUCGCCUGUGACGAAGCGGGAGUGACGGUAAUGGGUAAAGAAGCACCGGCUAACUACGUG